rnacentral:lncRNA from 1 species
GCUCAGCAGAGGAAGCUUGUCCCUCCUCUGAGGCUCCUUCCUGCUGACACCUUUCUGAGGACAGUGGCUGCAGAGAUGGGGUCUCCUAGAGGUUGAGAGAGACGUCCACCCUCCCGCCUCAGCCUCCUGAGAGCAGGGAUUAUGGGGCGCGCCACCAUCCCCAGCUAACCUUGUGCUUAACGCCAAGUCACCCAGCAGAGGUGGUGGCUGUGGGUAAAAUGUUUCUUUUUAUGUGGAGUGUUCGGGAGUGAAUGGUGCUGACCACGUGACGUUGCUGGUGUCAAGCUAGCACAGUGAUGGGGCCACACGAUUUGUCCUCUCCUCCUAGGCCCCCAAGGGAGCUGGGACAAGCAUAUUAAACUGACCUUGUGUGCCUCGAUAAGUUGUUCUGGAAACACAAGCCACAGUUAGGUCACCUGUGACCAGUGCUGGGCGAGACCCAGGCAGCUGGGAAGCUGUCCAGCGGCUCUGCAGUUCUGGAAUGGGCGACCCGGCUUCAGGAGGGAUCCGAUUCCAAGAGGAGUUUGCUGGGUUGAGUCAACAAGACUCAGAACAUGCCAGGCGCUCACCCUGCAGCUUCCUGUCACCUCCCCACAGCUGGUGUCCUGGACCCCACGGGCAGGCUCAGCUCCGUGUCAGGCUCUGCAUCCUGGCCCAGCCCGCCAUGCUCCUGAGGGCUUGGGUACCCUGUGGGCAAGAAGGAAGAAUCCUCCUCGAGGUUGGGGCUAGGACCACGCCUCCUCGAAGCACAGACACCAGCUGUCCCUUCGUUCAGCGAGGCAGUGCUUCCACUGACAUCCGCGGAGCUGCCCGUGGCUGCAGGCUAAGUCUCAGUUCUCCAACUUGCACAGAUUUCCCCGGAGGACUUGUUUCGACAGGUUACCUGCCCAGCCCUGGAGUUCCUGACCCAAGUGGAGAUGCCUGUGAGGGGCCGAAGCAGCCAUGCACGGCGGGAACACAGGAUGGAUGGUCUGGAGUGGGCAUCUUUGUUAUCUGUGGGGCAGGUCCUGGGAGAGCUGUGGCAAGUCAGGUGAGAAAACUGAGCCCUGCACAGAACCAGUGCUACCUUCGGCCAGCAGAGGGGAGCCUACACACCAGGGCUUUGUGCCUCUUUGUCUGCCAGCGGUCUUCCCAAAUCUGUUACGCGCUCCAAGGACCCCCAGCACAGGGCCAGGGAUGGAACCCAGGGCCUCCAGCACUCCAGCGAUGGCUCCUCCCCUGAGCGCCACCCCGGCCCAGCGCCUUCCUUCUGGCCUUCCUUCUGAAUCUGUCCUCUUCGGCCUGGAUCACUGCGACAUCCACCUCAGCAGCUCUUGUGUUCUGUCCUCAGCUCCUCCACCUGGCCGUCCACUGGGAUCCAGGAUCCCCAGGGAACUCCUUUAAUGCCAACCUCACCCUGCCAUUCCCCAGCUCAGUGCCCUGCCCUGGCUCCCUACUACCCACCAGGGCUGGCCUUGACCGCCUUUCCAGCCCAACACCCCCACCUUAUGUUCCACCCGCCCUUCCCCUGGCCCGGAUGGUGUUCCCCUCUCCUUUCUCCCCACUGUCUGCCCAGCUCAGCAGUUCCCCCCUUGGGGAAGACCUCCAGGGCCCUUCCUGUGCCCCUACCACCUAGGGUGCUUACCUCACUGCAACGGUGCCACCCUACUGUGGCCCCGCUGGGCUGGGGACUCAGAGCUGGCUGUGCCCCAUUCCCUAGCUCUCUGCGGGUCUUGUCCCCUCUCUCAGGACCCCAAGCUGGGGUGGCUGUACUGGGCCCCGCACGCCUGAGUUCAGAACACAUUUCUGCAGGCCUGACGGCUGGUGGGUGUGGAAACUUGGUGUCCUCCAGGAUUUCUGACCUCAUGAGAGAGGGCAGGGAGCAUGCAGGCCUGGGAGCCAGAAGGGCUGGCAGCCGGGGAUGGGAGGAGUGGAACCAGGGCAUCAGACACCUGUGCCCGUGGCUGGCACUCGCUUCAUCUCUGGAGACAACAGGGUCUUGGGGCCAAGGAAGGGAGCGUGAGACCAGCUUUGCCACUCUUUGCUAGGCCUGGCCUGGAAGCCCAGGCCAAGAGACCAGGGGGCGAGGGAGCCAGCAGAAAGAUGGGUUUGUGCAACAGCGUUCAAUAUGUUUGCAAUAAAGGGAAAAUGGAAAAAAUGUUAAUUUAAUUUUGACAGUGCCCUGGGGAUGAUGCUCAUGGCUCUGAGCGCUCCAACUGCCACCCAGCCAGCCCUGCUCAGGAGGCUCCAGGGAGAGAGGGAAUGCAGGGGCAAGGGUGAGGUGCUCCAAGGCCCUGUCCCAGAAUGUCCCCCACAUCCUGUCACUGUGGCCAGUGCCCUGUCCACGAAGCAGGACAUCCACCAGGGAAGGGGGACCUGUCGGCUCUUGGCUUUGUCUCCUAUGGCAGGACCCGGAAGAGGC